AAAGAAUGAAGACAUCCAUUGGAGCAUUCUUUAUGUCCUUUUGGCUGCAGCUGGACUGUGUCAGCCGAGGAGAGAAAGUGGAUCAGCAUCCUUCUACCCUGAGUGUCCAGGAGGGAAACACCUCUGUCAUCACCUGUUCUUAUUCAGACAGUGACUCACAAUACUUUCCGUGGUACAAGCAAGAAGCUGGAAAAGGUCCCCAGUUCAUUAUACACAUUUGUUCAAAUGAGAAUGAAAAGCAGUAUGGAAAACUCACUGUUUUAUUGAAUAAGACAGCCAGAUGUUUCUCCCUGCACAUCAAAAACACCCAGCCUGGAGACUCAGCUGUGUACCUCUGUGCAGCGAGUACACAUUUCCUCCCAAGCCCCUGA